UGAAACCUGAUAUGACUUAGUGGCGGACGGGUGAGUAACGCGUAGGCAACCUGCCCCUGACAGAGGGAUAGCCAUUGGAAACGAUGAUUAAAACCUCAUGACACCGUAGAAGCACAUGCUUCAUCGGUCAAAGAUUUAUCGGUCAGGGAUGGGCCUGCGUCUGAUUAACUAGUUGGUGAGGUAACGGCUCACCAAGGUGACGAUCAGUAACCGACCUGAGAGGGUGAUCGGCCACAUUGGAACUGAGAUACGGCCCAGACUCC
rnacentral:rRNA from 1 species